CGCGACGGGUGAGUAACGCGUAGAUAACCUGUCUUCAUGUCUGGAAUAAUACGCCGAAAGGGGUACUAAUACCGGAUAUUCUUGCUUUUCAUAAGUUAUGCAAGCAAAGGUGGCCUCUGCAUAUGCUACUGCAUGAAGAGGGGUCUGCGUACCAUUAGCUAGUAGGUGGGGUAAUGGCCUACCUAGGCGACGAUGGUUAGCGGGUCUGAGAGGAUGAUCCGCCACACUGGCACUGGAACACGGGCCAGACUCCUACGGGAGGCAGCAGUGAGGAAUAUUGCGCAAUGGGGGAAACCCUGACGCAGCGACGCCGCGUGAGUGAAGGAAGGCCUUCGGGUCGUAAAGCUCUGUCAAGAGGAAAGAAGUGUACAAUGGCUAAUACCUGUUGUAUUUGACGGUACCUCUAAAGGAAGCACCGGCUAACUCCGUGCCAGCAGCCGC
rnacentral:rRNA from 1 species